UCUUCCCGUUGUUGUAGCUUGGUAUUUAUAGAUAUAUGCAUACCUAAGUCGUGGAAACCAAUUCCAAUUGCACUAUGACUCUGAGUCUCUAUUUGUUGCCGACGACCACACACUUAUCACAUCAAUCAAAACUUGACCCCAUAUUUUCCAUCCUGACCUUCCAAUAUAACCUUUUCGAAGACUCAACCCAAUUGCGUCAUCACCAUGCAAUAUAUUUGUCUAGAUUCAUAGCAUCCUGCCAAGGAUAUUCAGUGGUUCCAUUUAUUCCGCCACCACAUCAUGAUCUCUAUCCAAUCCAUGCAUUGAUUUCGGCAUGCAUGGAUUUCACCUUUAUCCUGAACCAAAAUAUAUGAUGAGGCCACGUGCUUGCUUGAUGACAUAUAUUGAAUCUUAAACGUAACUCUAGGCCACGUGGGCUUUUCUGCCAAAACGUUGCAUGCAUGCUCCAUACACUUUUAUUAACUCAAAUGGAUAAUCACAAACCACCCAAUUCAAUUGUGAUUCAACCUAAUCUCCAUGUGAUGCAUGCUUUUCAAAUCAGAUAGACUAGCUCAAUCCAUUAUCCAAGCAAAAAGGCAUGACUUUGUAAACUUCCACAACUCUCGCACCAUGUUAAUCCCAUUUCAUCCGAUAUCCUUAGACUCAAAAAAUCUCUCUUAAGAUAAUUACCAUAAUUAAAAUUAAUAGUAAUAUCAAGAAAAAAUCAGUUUAGUCUCAGAGCCAUCUAAUGGUUUUAACGCAACAGGCCGAUAGCGUAAAAUCGGAUUCAAACACUAGCACACAUAAAACUUUGUUCGAUUUAUUCAUGCCGAAACAAGAUUUGGUUUUGUUAGAUUCAAACAAAUUUGAAUGAACAACUCAAUUCACGUUCUUUUUGUCUUUGUGAAAUUGGACUUAAUCGCAUGCAAUAUCUCAAAACCUCAGUAAAGUGAAUACCUUGCACUCGUACACACGAACAGAUGAUUAAAAAAUGCAUCCUAAACAAACAACCUAAAUGCAACAAUCCCAGGACUUCUGGAAUCAAGAACAACCCAAAAACCAAAAACUCAGACUUCCAAAAUCUGAAAGAAAAAAAAAAUCCAGAAGGGCAAUACAUUCAAACCUAGAAAACCAACCCUAAACACACAAAAAACCCAAUUGAAACACCAAUUAAAAUUGAAAAAAACGACAACCCAAUACACAGAACAUGAUCAUAGUUCUUAAAUGACAAAUGAACAAUAUUAGUAAAAGCAUUACAAACCGUCUAUGUAUUUGCUACAAUAGAUUGACUAAAUGACUUUAUUUUUAAUUUAUUUUGUGCAGAGAUGAUCAUUACAGUAUGAUUCAUUGUAUGAACGGUUCUAAUCAUAAACACAAAACUCUGUGAUUAAAACUUCAUAUUCAUACUCAUAUUUGAAUAAUCAGUAUGGUUGACUUACACAUGAGAGUAUUAAAAGAAGCAGGUUGGUGGUUCCACCGAAAGAAAGGAAAAACAAUUCACUUCUUUUAUGCUAAAGUUAAUCUGCAUGCGGAGGUGUCUUCCACUUUUCAAAGGGAAAACACACAAUGGAGCUGAUUAAAUAAUACAAUUGGCACAAUUCCUCCACCGAUUCAAAGUGUCCCACAUGUGCCACUUUGAGGACAUUUUAGCACAAUUGCACAAUAAUCCCCCAAAAUGCCAUAAUUUGGGUUUAAACCCAAAUAAGUAUAACGUGCACAUUUUAGGUACAAACAACUUGAGUUGAAGUUUCUAGCACCAUCAAUUGCUUUCUUAGGUAAUUAUGGUUCUAAAAGACUUUAGGCACUAGUCGAACGAUGAACUUCGUCUAGCGCUUAAGUGGAUUUGUAUUUUUAAAACAAAUUUGUUAUAUAACAUACAAAUAAGUGCAUGCUUAUACUUAAAAUUAAAUAAAAUUUAAAAAAAAAUGCAUAACAUACAAAAAUAAAUAUUUAUUACAAAAUAUGGACAUUGUGUAAACUUUUAGGGUUUUUUUUAAAGGAAAACUAAUGAAAAAGACUUGAAAACUUUGAGUUUUAACGAUAAAGACAAAAUAAAAGGUAAAGUGAAUAGUACCAUGUUUGACUUUUUAGUGUAA
rnacentral:lncRNA from 1 species